rnacentral:rRNA from 1 species
GACGAACGCUGGCGGCGUGCUUAACACAUGCAAGUCGAACGGAAAGGCCCUGCUUUUGUGGGGUGCUCGAGUGGCGAACGGGUGAGUAACACGUGAGUAACCUGCCCUUGACUUUGGGAUAACUUCAGGAAACUGGGGCUAAUACCGGAUAGGAGCUCCUGCUGCAUGGUGGGGGUUGGAAAGUUUCGGCGGUUGGGGAUGGACUCGCGGCUUAUCAGCUUGUUGGUGGGGUAGUGGCUUACCAAGGCUUUGACGGGUAGCCGGCCUGAGAGGGGGACCGGCGACAUUGGGACUGAGAUACGGCCCAGACUCCUACGGGAGGCAGCAGUGGGGAAUAUUGCACAGUGGGCGGAAGCCUGAUGCAGCAACGCCGCGUGCGGGAUGACGGCCUUCGGGUUGUAAACCGCUUUCGCCUGUGACGAAGCGUGAGUGACGGUAAUGGGUAAAGAAGCACCGGCUAACUACGUG